AGCGAACGCUGGCGGCAGGCCUAACACAUGCAAGUCGAACGAACCUUUCGGGGUUAGUGGCGGACGGGUGAGUAACACGUGGGAACGUGCCUUUAGGUUCGGAAUAACUCAGGGAAACUUGUGCUAAUACCGAAUGUGCCCUUCGGGGGAAAGAUUUAUCGCCUUUAGAGCGGCCCGCGUCUGAUUAGCUAGUUGGUUGAGGUAAUGGCUCACCAAGGCGACGAUCAGUAGCUGGUCUGAGAGGAUGAUCAGCCACAUUGGGACUGAGACACGGCCCAAACUCCUACGGGAGGCAGCAGUGGGGAAUCUUGCGCAAUGGGCGAAAGCCUGACGCAGCCAUGCCGCGUGAAUGAUGAAGGUCUUAGGAUUGUAAAAUUCUUUCACCGGGGGCGAUAAUGACGGUACCCGGAGAAGAAGCCCCGGCUAACUUCGUG
rnacentral:rRNA from 1 species